UGGCGAACGGGUGAGUAACGCGUGAGGAACCUGCCUCAAAGAGGGGGACAACAGUUGGAAACGACUGCUAAUACCGCAUAAGCCCACGACCCGGCAUCGGGAAGAGGGAAAAGGAGCAAUCCGCUUUGAGAUGGCCCCGCGUCCGAUUAGCUAGUUGGUGAGGUAACGGCCCACCAAGGCGACGAUCGGUAGCCGGACUGAGAGGUUGAACGGCCACAUUGGGACUGAGACACGGCCCAG
rnacentral:rRNA from 1 species